GAGAUUUUUUUUUUCCUGAUAAUGAAACCUGCUAAAAGCUUUGCUUAGGAUGGAGAAUUGUCAAAUUAAUCUAAUGUUCUUUGAUCUGUCUGGAAGGCUUUAAAGGAGAAAUGGUUCCUAGAUGAGUCCUCCUGUCCGAGACUGGGUUUUGCUGGAGCCGGAACUUCAAGUCCUCCUGCAUAUGCCCAAGAGGAUUGGGGAUGGAUGGACACCAGCAGAAGCACCACUUACCUCUAGACAUUAGAAGCCAGGAAUGUAUUGCCCUGCUUGUCGAGGCUCAGGACAGGAAGAAACAAGUAUAAGUUUUGAUUUUGGAAAGAAGUUGGAAUCUCCUGACCCUGGGACCUUAAGAUCCACAAUAUUGCUGAAAGAAAAAGUACUACCUUAUUGAAAGGAUGAAGAAACACGGAAGGAUUAUGACUACAUGCUGGAUCACCCAGAAGAAUACUAUAGCCAUUACUACCACUACUACAGCAGGCGCCUGGCCCCAAAAGUGGACGUUAGGGUGGUGAUUUUGGUCAGUGUGUGUGCCAUUUCAAUGUUUCAGUAUUUCAGCUGGUGGAAUAGCUACAAUAAAGCAAUCAGCUACCUAGCCACAGUGCCCAAGUACCGCAUCCAGGCAACAGAAAUCGCCAAGGAGCAGGGACUGCUCAAAAAAGCC
rnacentral:lncRNA from 1 species